UCCUGGCUCAGAACGAACGCUGGCGGCAUGCCUAACACAUGCAAGUCGAACGAGACCUUCGGGUUUAGUGGCGCACGGGUGCGUAACGCGUGGGAAUCUGCCCUUGGGUUCGGAAUAACUCAGAGAAAUUGGAGCUAAUACCGGAUGAUGACGAGAGACCAAAGAUUUAUCGCCGAGGGAUGAGCCCGCGUAGGAUUAGGUAGUUGGUGAGGUAAAGGCGCACCAAGCCGACGAUCCUUAGCUGGUCUGGGAGGAUGAUCAGCCACACUGGGACUGAGACACGGCCCAGACUCCUACGGGAGGCAGCAGUGGGGAAUAUUGGACAAUGGGCGAAAGCCUGAUCCAGCAAUGCCGCGUGAGUGAUGAAGGCCUUAGGGUUGUAAAGCUCUUUUACCCGGGAUGAUAAUGACAGUACCGGGAGAAUAAGCCCCGGCUAACUCCGUGCCAGCAGCCGCGGUAAU
rnacentral:rRNA from 1 species